CUGUGGGCCUUGUUGAUGUGGUGAACUGUAAACUACACCGGCCUGAAUAACCUCCAACCCCGCUCAAUGCAUUCUGGUCUUUGAUCCAGAGUGACACCUGCUGGUUGUGUGUGUUGUGUGGUUUUGUGCAAAGACUGAGAAUAAAUGUCUACAUUCAUUAAGUGAAAAAUUUGUUUGGAGUCAGAGAGCUAAGAAGAAGAUGCCUCAUGUGGAGGGAGAAGCAGAGAGAGUGUUUGAGUCUCACAGCUCCCUGACAGAGCAUAAUGUCAGUUCAUCAGGGUGCCUGAGCUGAGGAUGUUGUCAUGUACAAUAAAACAAGCAUGACACCCAACCAGCAGGUGAAGAUUAUAGCCAUAAAUGAGAGUCUCUACUCCAUCUUCGUCUUCCUGAGUUGCUUUUAAUGCUGUGCAGAAUGAAUUAAGUCACAAUGUUCUUCAUUUUAAUAACAGCAUAGAUACAACUUUGAUUAUAAAAAUGUUGACCAAUGUUUUUAU